UGGAAGCAAACGGUCUGGAA
rnacentral:siRNA from 1 species